rnacentral:rRNA from 1 species
ACUCCUACGGGAGGCAGCAGUGGGGAAUAUUGCACAAUGGGCGCAAGCCUGAUGCAGCAACGCCGUGUGAGUGAAGAAGGUUUUCGGAUCGUAAACUCUGUCCUAAGGGAAGAAAAAAUGACGGUACCUUAGGAGGAAGCCCGGCUAACUACGUGCCAGCAGCCGCGGUAAUACGUAGGGGGCAAGCGUUAUCCGGAAUCACUGGGCGUAAAGGGUGCGUAGGCGGCUUAGCAAGCCAGGGUGAAAGGCAUUGGCUCAACCAAUGUAAGCCUUUGGAACUGUUAAGCUUGAGUGCAGGAGAGGUAAGUGGAAUUCCUAGUGUAGAGGUGAAAUUCGUAGAUAUUAGGAGGAACACCAGUGGCGAAGGCGACUUACUGGACUGUAACUGACGCUGAUGCACGAAAGCGUGGG